rnacentral:lncRNA from 1 species
AGCGGGGACGAUCGGACUACGAGAGACUAGAGAGCACCCCAGCUGCUGGAGAAGCAACGCAGGGAGAUCGGGUAGGUUCCGGGACCGGCUGGACUUGAAGAUGGGGAGUCUGAGGCGCGUCGGUCGGGACCCGACACCCACACGGUUCCGGGACCUGGCUAAGCGGCCGGCCGAGGGUUCAGAACCCCUAGGCGAAGCAAGCGGCGGCAACCGAGCCUCAGAGGGUCCAGACUCGCUUUGAAUUCAUGAGAAAGAAGAGUGUGAAACAAGAAGCAAAGAUCGGGUUGGAAGAGGGCAAGAGGAAAGGGGGGGAUGGAAGGAAACCCUGCAGCCACCAACACAAUAAACACAAUAAACUGUAUCCUGACCACCUCAAAAA